GAUGAACGCUGGCGGCGUGCCUAAUACAUGCAAGUCGAGCGAACGGACGAGAAGCUUGCUUCUCUGAUGUUAGCGGCGGACGGGUGAGUAACACGUGGAUAACCUACCUAUAAGACUGGGAUAACUUCGGGAAACCGGAGCUAAUACCGGAUAAUAUUUUGAACCGCAUGGUUCAAAAGUGAAAGACGGUCUUGCUGUCACUUAUAGAUGGAUCCGCGCUGCAUUAGCUAGUUGGUAAGGUAACGGCUUACCAAGGCAACGAUGCAUAGCCGACCUGAGAGGGUGAUCGGCCACACUGGAACUGAGACACGGUCCAGACUCCUACGGGAGGCAGCAGUAGGGAAUCUUCCGCAAUGGGCGAAAGCCUGACGGAGCAACGCCGCGUGAGUGAUGAAGGUCUUCGGAUCGUAAAACUCUGUUAUUAGGGAAGAACAUAUGUGUAAGUAACUGUGCACAUCUUGACGGUACCUAAUCAGAAAGCCACGGCUAACUACGUGCCAGCAGCCGCGGUAAUACGUAGGUGGCAAGCGUUAUCCGGAAUUAUUGGGCGUAAAGCGCGCGUAGGCGGUUUUUUAAGUCUGAUGUGAAAGCCCACGGCUCAACCGUGGAGGGUCAUUGGAAGCUGGAAAACUUGAGUGCAGAAGAGGAAAGUGGAAUUCCAUGUGUAGCGGUGAAAUGCGCAGAGAUAUGGAGGAACACCAGUGGCGAAGGCGACUUUCUGGUCUGUAACUGACGCUGAUGUGCGAAAGCGUGGGGAUCAAACAGGAUUAGAUACCCUGGUAGUCCACGCCGUAAACGAUGAGUGCUAAGUGUUAGGGGGUUUCCGCCCCUUAGUGCUGCAGCUAACGCAUUAAGCACUCCGCCUGGGGAGUACGACCGCAAGGUUGAAACUCAAAGGAAUUGACGGGGACCCGCACAAGCGGUGGAGCAUGUGGUUUAAUUCGAAGCAACGCGGAGAACCUUACCAAAUCUUGACAUCCUUUGACAACUCUAGAGAUAGAGCUUUCCCCUUCGGGGGACAAAGUGACAGGUGGUGCAUGGUUGUCGUCAGCUCGUGUCGUGAGAUGUUGGGUUAAGUCCCGCAACGAGCGCAACCCUUAAGCUUAGUUGCCAUCAUUAAGUUGGGCACUCUAAGUUGACUGCCGGUGACAAACCGGAGGAAGGUGGGGAUGACGUCAAAUCAUCAUGCCCCUUAUGAUUUGGGCUACACACGUGCUACAAUGGACAAUACAAAGGGCAGCGAAACCGCGAGGUCAAGCAAAUCCCAUAAAGUUGUUCUCAGUUCGGAUUGUAGUCUGCAACUCGACUACAUGAAGCUGGAAUCGCUAGUAAUCGUAGAUCAGCAUGCUACGGUGAAUACGUUCCCGGGUCU
rnacentral:rRNA from 1 species